UCAUCUCAUAACAAACCCUACCUACCUAUUGUGCGACGGCAGCAGACUUCAAGACCCACCAUCGAGACAUUGUUUCCGCACUAAUUCUAUUUGCUCUUCUUGUUCACAGCGGCUUGUGGUUAGUGACCCAUGCAUAUGUUAAUUCUGUUUAUUUGAUCAUGGUUAUAUGUAUGUGUUCGGAACUGUAUGAUAUGUGAAUAUUGGAUAACCUAAAUGAUUUAUGCAUGAGGUGUAUUCAAGAUUUAAUUCGGUUGAUUAGAUUGUCAGUAAGCAUGUGAUUGUCGUAUAUGUUGCUAACAAUUGAUUGUCAUAUUAGGACUCAUGUUAGUCAAUGAUAUUAGGGAGAUUAUGAUUGAAACUCAUUGACCGAUUGAAUGUUAGAGCCUCACUGAACCACCGAUGAUGACCAUUAAAUAUAUUGACCAUUAUCAAUAACCUUGACCAUGAAUUGAAACUUUAAUCUGUGACUUGUCGGCUACUGAUUUCCUUGUGCAUAUGAUUUCAAAGUGCAAUGAGUUAACAGACUACCAUGUAAAUUAGUUGGGUUCAUUUAUCAACACAUAGGUUAGCGGCCUGAUACACUUGUCAGCCCACUAAGCGCACCGGUCCAAUAAGAUAGUAAUUGAAAAUAAUAGCCGGCCAUGAUUGUAAGGAGCAUCUGAAUGCAAUUAUUGUCACAUGAUUUGUUCCCAUUUAUGUCAAUUCAUGACAUUAAGUGUCAGACUUUUGUGUGAUUCUAUUUAGCAUAUGUGAUUCUAUUUAGCAUGUCGGUCAUUGACAAAUUGCAUGAGAAGUCAUUACUGUUUGCAUGUGGACUGUGAGUUUCAUUGAGUUUGUACAACGGCUAUGUGCUAUUCGGAGAUCACUGCUUAAAUGCACACCAUGAUUACAACUUGUAUGCAAACAACGUGAACGUAAACUGACUUCGUACGCAUGAACAUUAUAGGCUUUGACUGAUUUGGUGUGUGUGAGUAACUAGUCAUACCGAGCAAAACUAAGGUGAGUUCACUACUUUGAACAUGCGUCCCGGUGGUUGGGACAGUCAGUGGGUAUCCCGGGGAGGGAUAAAUCUUUUGGGUAAAACUGGGAUGUUGGAUAAUAUUCUCACUCUCUAUCUCUUAAGUCCCAUCUUUUGCUAUCGUGGGUGGUAGCGGGGUAUUAGUUGGUAGCGCUACUUAGGUUUGGCACCCUCACCCCGUUCCUGAGAGAGGGCAGGUGUGAACUAAUGACCCAGUCGGGCCUAGUGCUUUGAUAGGAGCACUGGGGAAUGGGCAAAACAUACAUCAGGAGCCGUCUUGUUCAGUAUCGAGAUAUUAUCAACAUUGCUUUCGUAUUUGUUAAACAGACUGGAUUAAAUACUUGGUCGUUAGGUAUUCUGGGUUGAGGAACUUGCUGUCUGAUGAAGCUGGAGUGGUCAUGAGUCGACUGAAGAGAUUCAUGAGAUGUUCUUGAUAUUAUAACUUGGCUUAUUGAUACUGUUUGACUUUAGUUUUCUAUUUUGCUUCCGCUGAACUUAUUGGGAUUUACUA
rnacentral:lncRNA from 1 species